rnacentral:lncRNA from 10 species
AGCUGCUUCCAACCUGACGGCAGAUGCUGCUGGCACUUGGUCCCCUUCACCCGCGGCUAGCGAGGGUGCAUGCGCAGUUGCAUUAGACAGUUUUCGACAUACCUUCUCAGAUGGAGUCUUACUCUGUCACCCAGGCUGGAGUCCAGUGGCAUGACCUCAGCUCAUUGCAACCUCUGCCCCACCCGGGUUCAAGCGAUUCUCCUGCCUCAGCCUCCUGAGUAGCUGGGAUUACAGGAGAGACAGAACAGCUGAGGAAACAGCAGAACGGUGGAAAAUUUUUGAAAGUGUUUUGAGCCCACCCAACCUGAGGAGAGCAUUCAAAGAAAAACAGGAAGAAGGGCUUUGGACAGUCCUGAUAAUUGGCUAACGGUGGGAUACACAUAGACUUGUUAUUAACAGCCAAGAUAACUUGAGUCAUUGAGUGACUAAGACAUGUGCCUGUCCUUACAACCAGGACAAGAUGAAGAUGCGAUCCAUGUGAAGGUAGGAGAUUUCGAAGUAGUGAGUAUCUUCUUUCCUACCCCUACUCCUCCCGAACCAAAAUACUACAUGUGGGCCGCAUGCAUAAACUCCAUUUAUUCCAAGUAGGAAGUAUCUACGUAGUAGUAGGUAAAGGUGUUAACAUGACCCAUCGAGAACUCUGGAAUUACAAAAAUCAUUUCUCUCCAGAGUUAAAAAAGAGCC